AGAGAGAGAGAGAGAGAGAGAGAGAGAGAGAGAGAGAGAGAGAGAGAGAGAUUAUCUUAUGCUAAUCUGAUCAGGGGUACUGUAAGAAUUUAUAUCGACAACUUACCACACUUGGUGAUUACAGAUUUUUUUUUUAAGUAUGGGGCAGUAGUUGAUGCUUUCAUUGCAAACAAGAAGAGUAAGAGGUAUCAGUCGAAAUUUGGUUUCAUUAGAUUUUCAACUUUGGAGGAAGUUUGGGGGGGGGGGAUAAAUUUCUUGGAUGACAUUAUUGGAGAGAAAAAUUUACUGGUGAAAAUGGCAUCUUAUGGUGCGUCAAACAAACUAACUAGCAGGAGUGGAAGCCAUGGGGGUACUGAGAUGUUCAGGAGAAGCGCGAUAAAUUUCUUGGAUGACAUUAUUGGAGAGAAAAAUUUACUGGUGAAAAUGGCAUCUUAUGGUGCAUCAAACAAACUAACUAGCAGGAGUGGAAGCCAUGGGGGUACUGAGAUGUUCAGGAGAAGCAAACAAUUGGGCUGGUCGAGAUUAUUCAGCAAAGAAGUUAGUAAGGAUGGACUAGGAGAAACUGGGGUGCAGAGAACAAACUGUAAGGAGGUCGAUGGAGGAAUGGGGAGAACUUUUGCAGAAAUGGUCACAGGUUAGAAGUGAAUUCCAAGAUAAUAUAGGUGAAGGAGAAGUUAGUGGGAAUGAGUUGCUUGACAGAAGUGCAAUGGCUACUCUUCACUCACCACCAUCAAUGGAGUCCAUCAAGGAGGUUCUGCAUUGUGAAGGAGUCCCAAAUAUUCAAGUAAGAGACAUGGGUGGUCUUAAUGUGAUUGUAACUUUUCCAUCCAUUCCUGUUAUGAACUCGAUGAUUAAAGGGGGAAGUCUCAGCUGAUUCAGUAAGUGGUUUGCGGAUAUCAAACCUUGGUGUCUAGAAGAGUCAAAUUCUGGGAGAAGAGCCAUAUGGCUCUCUUGCUAGGGGGUGCCCAUUAGUGUUCGGAAUGCUGCAGCCUGCAAGUUUUUUUAAGAUUGGACAGAGAUGGGAGAGAGGUAAUAGCUCUGGAUGAUGCUACAAUGAAGUGCUUAUCUUUUUCUUCAUGGAAAGUUAUGAUCACCACAGAGGUCUGGGAAGUGGUGAACAAAGUAAUUCAAUUAGAAAUCAAUCCUAAGAUGUUUGAUGUGGGGGUGGUGGAAGAGCAAGUGGUCAUCACUGGGCACGUGGUUGAAAAUUGCAGCUCCAAAGGUAAUCCAGAAGGAGAUGACAGGGUAACAUGACUCAGUUGAUGAGCUGGACUCAAGACCUGUGAUACGGCACCAAGUAGGAGUGGUGUGUAACUGAGGUGCUGAGUUGGUGGAGUGGCUUGUAACUGAUAAAAUCCAAAGCCAGGAAAGUAUGUAAAGAGUGAAGUAAUUAAGUUGGGGAGAGUGAAAAUCCAACUCCAUUUUCAAUAAUUACAGAGUAAGACCCUCAAAUGUGCAUGUUUUCGUAUUUCAUGUUGCCUUUGUAAUGUUUGAAACUGAUUCUUUUAUGUUGCGUUGAUGUUGGCAACAUAGAGGAAAAUGGAUGAAGCUAACCUACAUCAUCAGUUGCAAUGAUGCUUUGUGUUGCUUCUUGAAGAAACAAGAGAAAUGACUAGCUCUAUACCUUUCCACAGCUUUGAAUCACACGCAAGUUCUACAGGUUUUUCUUUUCCUUUACUUUUUUGAUUGCAUGAUGUAGGGGGUACUAACUCCGAAUUUCCAUUUUCAACGUUGCAUUUACACUUCAUAAUAGUUCAUAUACCUAGUUGAAUAUACUGCUUACUUGGGCAAUGCCUUUUGGACAGAUCACAGGCUUACACCAGUCACUUGCCUCGGAAAAGUAUCAACAAGAGCAGUUUUUGAUUUUUUGAUACAGCUUUCUGUUUGGACACUUUGAAGAGAGAGCGGGAGUGGGAGAGAGGGAGAGACUUGACAGAGAUCGUAACCCACAACCUGUAAGUUCAUUCUCAGCAAGUCAAGCCCAUAACACAAAGUUCUUAUUUUCUUCUUCUCUUGCCUUCCUUUUGUCGUUUCCUUUUGAAUUGCUCAUUACUCCCCUUUUUCGCUAGGUCGUCUUUCUCUUUUAACUUCUCUUCCUAGUCAAUUGCUUUCUUCCUUUUGGUAAUAAACCCAUCUUGAUAGAAAUCAAUCAGGCAAAACGUUUGGUUUCUCUAAACCUUGCGAAAUCUUUUUUUGGCUGCUUUUCAUUCAUAUAUUUGCCAUUAGUGAAGGAUGUUGGGAGGACCGGCAUUUAUUGUUCCAUCAGAUUUUAUGGUUUUUAAUUUUGCAUUAGCAUUCUGCAACACUUUUGAAAGGGCAGUUCUGCUAUUUCAAUACUUGUACGUUCUACCAUCAUAGUGUCUGUCUAUUACUCCCACGAAGGUAUGCAUUCAUGGGUCAAAAAGUUUGACAUCAACUCAAUAUCUGUUUCUAUUGUUUUCUGGACAUAAAUUUGUUGUCUUACAAUAGGUAUUUUGUUUCCUUUUGUUUGUUUCAUGGCCAUUUAUGAUCUUUUCAGUUGUAGUUUUUUUGGUUAUAAUCUUCAUAUCGCUUGGCAAAUAUUUGAUUUUGCCGCCAUCUUUUUUUUAUAGUUACUUUGCGUGAGUAUGAAUUUGAAUAUCAUUAGGGCCUUGACGGAGAUCAUGAGGAUGUGAAUGCUCCAGUCGCUUCUCCCCCUUCUUCUCCUAUAUUGGUCCCUCUUGCACUCGUACUGCAUACAUGGUGAUCAUUAUUAUGUCCAGUUCUUUGUAUGGUUUCUUUCAUGCCCUUUUGUGCUAUGAACACUAUUUGGAUACCCAUGUCUCUGGUAGCUUUGAGGUCCUUGUGCUGACUGCUGAGUAAAAAAAACCAUUUUUUAUUGUGCCAUCUCUUCUCUCCGCUCCUUCUAUGAUGAUGUUGGGUAUUUCUUUUCCUACUCAUGGUAUGGUGUUUAGCUCGAUGUUGGAUUAUGAUGCUUAUAGUGUUAUGCUGGGGGGCUAUCGUUGAUGGUUACAGAAAACGAAGAGGGUGGUUUACCAUGAGCACGAAGUGCCAAAAAGAGCUUCAACAGAAUGCGCCAACACACAACAGACACGUGUACAAUACUCGAAUCAAAUACUUAUUCCCUCAAAUAUGCCUUAAACAUGUGUUAGCAGGUUGUUAAUUUUUUCCCCACCGAUUGUAAUAUUUAUCUCAAUAGCUUUAUUCAUUUUCUUCAUGAUCUCUUGCACGCAAGUAUAAACAACUCAUACAGGAAAAGGAGGAAUGGGCUGAACUAAAAAGACAGGUGCAGUUGGGUUGGCAAUAGAAAGAAA